UACGGGGGGGGCAAGCGUUGUUCGGAAUUACUGGGCGUAAAGGGCUCGUAGGCGGCCAUCUAAGUCAGACGUGAAAUCCCUCGGCUUAACCGGGGAACUGCGUCUGAUACUGGAUGGCUUGAGAUUGGGAGAGGGAUGCGGAAUUCCAGGUGUAGCGGUGAAAUGCGUAGAUAUCUGGAGGAACACCGGUGGCGAAGGCGACAUCCUGGACCAAAACUGACGCUGAGGAGCGAAAGCCAGGGGAGCAAACGGG
rnacentral:rRNA from 1 species